UACGGAGGGCGCAAGCGUUAUCCGGAUUCACUGGGCUUAAAGGGUGCGUAGGUGGGCAAGUAAGUCAGUGGUGAAAUCUCCGGGCUUAACCCGGAAACUGCCAUUGAUACUAUUUGUCUUGAAUACUGUGGAGGUCAGCGGAAUAUGUCAUGUAGCGGUGAAAUGCUUAGAUAUGACAUAGAACACCAAUUGCGAAGGCAGCUGGCUACACAAAUAUUGACACUGAGGCGCGAAAGCGUGGGGAUCAAACAGG
rnacentral:rRNA from 1 species